CACACGGGGGUAACAGGAUAAAUACUCUGUGUUGGAUUGGGGCAGCACUCUGCCCUGAGCUGGGGCAGGCAGGGACCAGGGCCAGCCCCUUGCUGUGCUCUGGUGUGCCACCAGCACUGCUGACAUCUGUGCCAAUGCUCCCGCCUUGCUCAGUGCCCAGCCGUGGACCCACAGCAAGCCCUUCUCAUGUUUUGGUUGCACUCAGGCACCAAAGGGGAAAAUAAAGGCCUUGAAACUUUCCUCUCUGUUUCUGCACCCAGCCCCUAGAACAAAUGGCAUUGGCAGCUUUUUCUACAUGGCUGACCACUAAUUUAGUACCUCUUUCUCCUUAAAUUUUGGCUGCAGGAUGGCAAGAGCACGAGGACACAGCCCAGCCCUCACUGCUCCAGCCUGGUAAAGCUGCAGGGACCAGAGCCAAUCCAACCCCUAGAGCCAUUGGCAGCCAUGCUCCAACACCAGGCAUGAGGUUAGAGCAGUCAUGACUUGUUUUGGUCAGGAGCUGAAGAUUUCCCAAAUUGACAUCUGUCUGGAAGACACCAUCCUGGCUGGAAAGGCUGUGAUUCCAACUGUGGUAGAUUGUAGCUGUGGGCAAUGAAAAGCUGUUCUGAGGUAAUUUUAACCUUUCAGGUAAGUAGAAGGCUUUCAAAAAUUGUCUAAAUAGGCACUUCCCAAAAUGAAUUCUGAAAGUACUGAAGGUACAUUCAUUUUUUCAGUAGUUCAAACAUAGCAUGAGGUGAGGUGCAUUUUUUUUUUUUCAGGUGGUAUCAAAUAGAUUAAUUUAAAUUAAAUUAAUUAAUAGACCUACCAUUAAACUACUGCAUCAGCUAACAAUGUUACCAGUAAAAUCAACAGCCAAAGGGACUUGGCUGCACGUUCACCCUGCAGUGCUCUGGGCAGCUCCCAGGACCCUGGACCCUGUCAGGGAGCAGGCAGUGCAGCUCCUGGUCCAUGCAGGUGUGGGAGCACACCCUGAUCCAGGAAAAUAAGGGCCCAGACAGCACUGGAUGCCAAAGCACCAGGCCUGUGGUCCCUGCCCAGGAAUCUCCACUCAAAGGCAAAGGUUAACAACAGAAGAAUAACAAGCAGGACUUUUUUCCUGGGUCCUGUGAGCUUUUAGCCAACUUAUUUGCCUCUUGGUUGUGCUUCGUGUGAAAAUAUAAUGAUUUUUAUGGGCCACUUUAACAUUUUUAUGUCUUUUUUUCUUCAGAAAAAAAAAUCCCACAUUUGGUGUAAGAAUUAAAACAGUAUUUCAUGCUUAACUGCAAUCACAGAUGAUGUAUGGAGGAGAGCUGGCUUCAUGUCAACUCAAUAUAAAGCCAGAAUUGAAUCUAACUUGGUCACUACAGCUGUGCGAUGGUUUAUGGGCUGAGGGGAUUUUUUUCAGAUCAGUCAUAAAUGAAAUGGAAACUUUGACUGGGCUCAUUUUGUAUCAAACAGGAGCAAAAAAAGGCAGGGAAGAAGCAGGAGUGCUGCACAUUUGUCUGAGCUGUUCCUUCAGAGGUGGACACCCAGCCCAGCACCGGGUGGCACUCAGUGCCUGGUGGCACAAAGGCCCUGCCAGGACAGAGGGGCUUUCCUGAGCUGUGGGGAGCCACGUGCCUGGGAUCAACCUCCAGCUCCUGCCUGGAAAACAGCAUCAGUGCAGAACAGACCCUGUGGGAUGGGGUCAGCUGAUGGAAAAGUGCCCUCAUGGCAUGGAUGUGAUGCUCUGAGGUCACCAGCAUGUCCCACUUGUGUUUCCCACCUGGUGACAGAUUUUGUGAUGGCGGUUUUAAAUGUGGGGUUGUGUUAUAAAUGGGAGUUCAAAGCAAAGAUAAAACUUUCCAUGUAAGGGAGGAGCUGCAGUGAAACCAUUUCUUCCUGCUCUUGCCUUGUGUUUGAGUUGUUGGGAUUUCUGCUGCUGACUUUGAGCAGAACCCAUCUCCUGCUGCCCUCAUCACUGUUCCCAUCUCCCUGGCCUCCACAGUCUCCACCACUAUUCCCAGCCUCCUGGCCUCUAUGAUGGACACAGAAAUGAUGGCCACGGGCAGGUAAGAUGUGAAAGGGGAAUUUAAGGUAAAUAAUAAAGUCAGUCAGCAAAGGUUCCCCCUCCAGUCAAAGGAUCAGUCUCCUGGCGGGUGUUUAACAGUAUCAGCUUUGGAUCUGCCUGUUUCCAUCCCUAUAAAUUUAGGAUGGGCUGCAGUGGCAAAGCUCCCAUUUCUAUGCAAAUCCAUACAAAUGAUUGAUUACUUGUAGAAACAGAAUAACCACAAUGGCAGAAACAGUAUUUCUUAGUUUAUGUGGGGAAUUUAAUUGCUUGCCUGUGGCACAGAAAAGGAGAAUCAGGAAAACAUCUUCCCUGACCCCACCCCAACCAUUAAGCCUGGUGUUAGACAUGACACUGCUGUGCCAAAAUCUGAGGAAACAGAUCAUCUCCUGUGCAUCUCCUGAGGAAACAGGAGGGGCAGGGAAUGGAAGGGGCAGGGCAGGAUGGGUGGGUGGAUCCUGAGGACACACAUGGGGAGAACAAAGCACUGCAAGGAUGGGGACACCUUGGUCUGAGGGACAGAAGGGACCAGUAGGGGUUGGUGCUUCUGGAAUAAACAGGCCCCUAAACACUUCUGCUGGCACCUGCCCUGGUUUGUCCAGCAGCUGCAGAAGCAGCUGUAAUCCAUGUUUUGUGCCAGGUUCUGCCCUUCCCAUGCUGUUCCACUCCCUGAAUUUCACGGUGUCCAAGGCAUUUCCAGGAUGCUUUCAGAUGGUUCAGCAAGAGUCUGGCUGGUGCUGGAUAAAAUGAGUGGGGCUGGUUUUGCAUGGGAACAGCUGCAUUUAAUGAAAUCACCAAUGAAAACAGGAAGGUGCCUUCCUUUGCUCACAGCCCUGGGUGUCACCAGGGAAGGCAUAACCACAGUGCCUUUGUGCUCUGCAGGUGUGAUGUGCUGAUGUGCUGGGACAGGACAGUUGUUCUGACAGCUGGGAAUGAUGAAAGGCUGUGGAAGAAUGAUGGUGCAUACACGUGGUUCUGCAUCCCUCCUGCCCAGACUUCCCAACUGCUUUGUUACCCUUCUCUGCAGUCAGUUUUUGUUAUUUAAUUCCUCAAUGAAAUUCUUGCUCACCCUCUGGUCUCAGUGGCACCACGGAUCUGAAUGGCUCACAACCUGCUGUCCUCCCACCUUCCCCUGGGACAGGGAAGUGCAUGGGCAAACUGAGGCACACAGGCAGUGGGGGCUCAUGAGGGGAUGCAGGUUUUUCCAGCUAAUGCCAGCAUAAAACUGGGUUUGAAGGUUUGAGGCUGCAAACUGCCUCUCGAGUGUGAUGGGAAUUGGCUCACCUUAUUGGCAGGGGGAGAGAACUGUGGGACAGGGUGGCAAAGUGAGGGACAAUGACAUCCAAAAAUUCCCCAUUUCUGAGUGUUCCACACUCUUCAGCUAGUAUUCCUUGCCUUGUUUUUCCUGCAUUCAUUUUGUGCCUCAGAAACUUUUUUUUUUUAAAGCAAGAAGAGGGAUUUAGACAUUAGAACAGCUUCUGACCUGAUAUGAGUUAAUGAUUUUAUAAAACCCCUAAAAAAUGCUUUACUUUAAAAGAUUGAUGUUUCCUAUUGUAUUUUUUUUCAAUGCCAAUUAAUUACUUAAUUCAUUAGCAAUGUAACACAGGAAUAGUCUUUGAAAAUCUGCUGCUUUGUGUAGAUGCCUUUAAUUAUGGAUAAUUAAAUACUGUGGAAGGACCUGAUUAUACCUCUGAGCAUUUUCUAAUCUGGAAAAUGAAACACACUCCUGCACUCCUGACGACAUAAAACAAAAGCUGAGCUCAACAGCCACAGGAAGUAAAAAAAGAUGGGAAAACAAACACCCCAAAAGCCAGAAC